rnacentral:lncRNA from 1 species
GGCAGUCCUAAGCAAAGCUUUAGCUGUAAUUGGUACAAGUAAAAUGGAAGGAAUUCACAGGAAGUGACGAAAAGAAAUUAUCUUUAAAAAUUCCAAGAACUUCCUGGGAAGAUGUCUUUAGUCUUGAACUUGAUCUUGAAGGAGUUCCAGCUUGGGACCUUGGACUUUUCUUGGAUUUUUUCCCUUAGAACUACCACAUGGGCCUAA